ACUGUGGUAAUUCUAGAGCUAAUACAUGCAAACAGAGCUCUGACCGGAGACGGAAGGAGUGCUUUUAUUAGAUCAAAACCAAUCGGCGGCGGUAGCGUUUCGGCGUUAUCGUUCGUCGCUCAAUAAAUGGUGAAUCUGAAUAACUUUAUGCUGAUCGCAUGGUCUUGUACCGGCGACGCAUCUUUCAAAUGUCUGCCUUAUCAACUGUCGAUGGUAGGAUCUGCGCCUACCAUGGUUGUAACGGGUAACGGGGAAUCAGGGUUCGAUUCCGGAGAGGGAGCCUGAGAAACGGCUACCACAUCCAAGGAAGGCAGCAGGCGCGCAAAUUACCCACUCCCGGCACGGGGAGGUAGUGACGAAAAAUAACGAUACGGGACUCAUCCGAGGCCCCGUAAUCGGAAUGAGUACACUUUAAAUCCUUUAACAAGGACCAAUUGGAGGGCAAGUCUGGUGCCAGCAGCUGCGGUAAUUCCAGCUCCAAUAGCGUAUAUUAAAGUUGUUGCGGUUAAAAAGCUCGUAGUUGAAUUUGUGUCCCGCACUGUCGGUUCACCGCCCGCGGUGCUAACUGGCAUGUUUGCGGGACGUCCUGCCGGUGGAUUGUCGUAGCUUGAGAUCAUUCCGCACACCUUCCGGGGCGCGCGCGUUUGGUUGCAUGGCUAGACAUUCCGACUUAUAAAUCCUGUCUGGGUGCUCUUAAUCGAGUGUCGAGGCGGGCCGGCACGUUUACUUUGAACAAAUUAAAGUGCUCAAAGCAGGCUUAUAAAUGCCUGAAUAAUUAGUGCAUGGAAUAAUGGAACAGGACCUUGGUUCUAUUUUGUUGGUUUUCGGAACCCCAAGGUAAUGAUUAAUAGGGACAGAUGGGGGCAUUCGUAUUGCGACGUUAGAGGUGAAAUUCUUGGAUCGUCGCAAGACGGACUAAAGCGAAAGCAUUUGCCAAAGAUGUUUUCAUUAAUCAAGAACGAAAGUCAGAGGUUCGAAGGCGAUCAGAUACCGCCCUAGUUCUGACCAUAAACGAUGCCAGCUAGCGAUCCGCCAAAGUUCCUCCGAUGACUUGGCGGGCAGCUUCCGGGAAACCAAAGCUUUUGGGUUCCGGGGGAAGUAUGGUUGCAAAGCUGAAACUUAAAGGAAUUGACGGAAGGGCACCACCAGGAGUGGAGCCUGCGGCUUAAUUUGACUCAACACGGGAAACCUCACCAGGCCCAGACACUGGAAGGAUUGACAGAUUGAGAGCUCUUUCUUGAUUCAGUGGGUGGUGGUGCAUG
rnacentral:rRNA from 1 species